rnacentral:rRNA from 1 species
CAGUAGCCGCGGUAAUACGGAGGGGGCUAGCGUUGUUCGGAAUUACUGGGCGUAAAGCGCACGUAGGCGGCUUGGUAAGUUAGAGGUGAAAGCCCGGAGCUCAACUCCGGAAUUGCCUUUAAGACUGCCGAGCUAGUAGGUGAGAGAGGUAAGUGGAAUUCCGAGUGUAGAGGUGAAAUUCGUAGAUAUUCGGAAGAACACCAGUGGCGAAGGCGGCUUACUGGCUCAUACUGGACGCUGAGGUGCGAAAGCGUGGGGAGCAAACAGGAUUAGAUACCCCGGUAGUCCCUGUCUCUUAUAC